CACAGACCCCCCGUUUCACACCCCAAACUGGACCAGGAGACACAGAGACCCCCCGUUUCACACCCCAAACUGGACCAGGAGACACAGAACCCCCGUUUCACACCCCAACCUCUGCAGGGGGCGUUCAGUUGGGUGGAGCAGCGUGAAGAUUCCUCUCAGACCAAAACACCUGUUCAUGCCAUCUCUGAAGAAAACAAACUAACUUAAGCACCAAAGCAUCCCUUUCUUCGAAAAGAAUGAGAAACUAACAUCAUCGCCAUCUAGUGGUGAGAAAGCUGCCCACCCCUGCGACUGAGGCCCGGUGGGCGCUCGUGUGCAGACUGUCAGGCUCAGGUGAGGCGCCGGUACCUGGUGGUGAAGGUGAGAGCCAGGGCGGCGGCCAGGUGAGGCAUUAGCCGCAGGUACUGGGUCUGGUGCUCGAUGAUCUUCACCUCCUCCUGGUCCGUUGGCCCAAACUGCCUGCGACUGAGAGGAGACACAAGUGUUACCCUCCUGCCCUGGAGACACUGCCAGUCAGAUGAACAGCCAUAUGGAAGGAGAAUACCGCUGUUGUAAAUAGUGGCAAACAUGGAGGACUGAGGCAGUGAUCUGUAGGACUGCACAUAAGCGCCCCCUGCUGGUCUCUGAUGGGCACAAUGAAGCAGUGGGGACCUGGAGGAGAGAGCGGGACCGCAGAGAGAAGAAGAUUCGCGUUUCCACUUCGCUGCGGUUUGUCCCUUUCCAGUCGCCGUUGCCGGAAAACCUGGGACCAAGCCCACCGUCGUUCUGUGUGAAGUGACCGAGUAGACGUGAGUCCACUGGGCAAAGCUGACAUGAUAUUCCAGUUCACCGGAAAAAGCACGAAACCGGCGUUUCGGUUGCCGUUCUGGAGUUCAGGGAGCUCCAGAUUUUACCCAGACCUACAGUAGUCAAAAACAGGUGGAACUGAUGGUGUUGCAGUUUUCAAAGGAGAAAGAACCGGGGCAAGAACUGAGGGAGAGGAAGGAGGAAGAAGAUGCAUUGCACAAGUCUGAGGACUCAAAGGGAAGAUAAACUCCAGAAAGACAGGCUGUUUCCGUGCGCCCUACAGCACACAGACUGGCUGUCCGCAUGCUGAACCUUGCAUUAUUCAUUCUCUAAUUCAUAAUUCAAUGCUUUUGUGAGCUAGCUUGAAAGCUGGCUAGGUAGCUAACCAAUCUGUUUGUCAGUUUUUAAAAAGUGUCACAGCAUGGACAAGGUAUUCCAGUCAGUGAGAAAUAUUUCACUUGUUACAAGAAAUUGAGAGAUAAAAUGAUCAUUAAUCCCAUUCGUAACAAUUGAAGGACGGGAUGCAGGACAGACUGACUUUCCAGAUACAUUAAAAAGACAGGAUCGUUGUAUUGACAUGCUGACAUGCCAUACUGUUGCAUAUAAGUACUCACACACUUGUAUAUAUAGUUAUUCAUGUUUAUGAUGAUUGAAGUUGAUUGAAAGACAAUGACGGUUCAUACCAAGCAUGAACAGCAAUUCCAGCAUUCCAUAUUAAACCAGCGUAGAGUUCUUCUCUGCAACAU